GUUGGCAGCGGCUAGGGUUCCGGCUUCGCGUGUAGUUGUUUGCGAAGUGCUGGUCCGAGAGCCGCACCCUGUCCGGUGAACAGCGGGCAGGUACACGGCGGGACAAAAGCCCGGGAGAC
rnacentral:sRNA from 20 species